GUAGGUGGCAAGCGUUGUCCGGAAUUAUUGGGCGUAAAGCGCGCGCAGGUGGUUCUUUAAGUCUGAUGUGAAAGCCCCCGGCUCAACCGGGGAGGGUCAUUGGAAACUGGGGAACUUGAGUGCAGGAGAGGAAAGUGGAAUUCCACGUGUAGCGGUGAAAUGCGUAGAUAUGUGGAGGAACACCAGUGGCGAAGGCGACUUUCUGGCCUGUAACUGACACUGAGGCGCGAAAGCGUGGGGAGCAAACAGGGAUUAGAUACCCUGGUAGUCCACGCCGUAGACGAUGAGUGCUAAGUGUUGGGGGGGUUUCCGCCCCCUCAGUGCUGCAGCUAACGCAUUAAGCACUCCGCCUGGGAGUACGGUCGCAAGACUG
rnacentral:rRNA from 1 species